UACGUAGGGGGCUAGCGUUGUCCGGAAUCAUUGGGCGUAAAGCGCGUGUAGGCGGUCCGGUAAGUCCGCUGUGAAAGUCGGGGGCUCAACCCUCGAAAGCCGGUGGAAACUGUCGGGCUAGAGUGCGGAAGAGGCGAGUGGAAUUCCUGGUGUAGCGGUGAAAUGCGCAGAUAUCAGGAGGAACACCAAUUGCGAAGGCAGCUCGCUGGGACGUUACUGACGCUGAGACGCGAAAGCGUGGGGAGCGAACAGG
rnacentral:rRNA from 1 species